rnacentral:rRNA from 1 species
UUGCUGCUUCGCUGACGAGUGGCGGACGGGUGAGUAAUGUCUGGGAAACUGCCUGAUGGAGGGGGAUAACUACUGGAAACGGUAGCUAAUACCGCAUAACGUCGCAAGACCAAAGAGGGGGACCUUCGGGCCUCUUGCCAUCGGAUGUGCCCAGAUGGGAUUAGCUAGUAGGUGGGGUAACGGCUCACCUAGGCGACGAUCCCUAGCUGGUCUGAGAGGAUGACCAGCCACACUGGAACUGAGACACGGUCCAGACUCCUACGGGAGGCAGCAGUGGGGAAUAUUGCACAAUGGGCGCAAGCCUGAUGCAGCCAUGCCGCGUGUAUGAAGAAGGCCUUCGGGUUGUAAAGUACUUUCAGCGGGGAGGAAGGGAGUAAAGUUAAUACCUUUACUCAUUGACGUUACCCGCAGAAGAAGCACCGGCUAAGUCCGUGCCAGCAGCCGCGGUAAUACGGAGGGUGCAAGCGUUAAUCGGAAUUACUGGGCGUAAAGCGCACGCAGGCGGUUUGUUAAGUCAGAUGUGAAAUCCCCGGGCUCAACCUGGGAACUGCAUCUGAUACUGGCAAGCUUGAGUCUCGUAGAGGGGGGUAGAAUUCCA